ACCUACGGGGGGCAGCAGUGGGGAAUAUUGCGCAAUGGGCGAAAGCCUGACGCAGCAACGCCGCGUGAGGGAUGAAGGUCUUCGGAUCGUAAACCUCUGUCGGCAGGGAAGAACGGUCACUGUGCUAAUCAGCAGUGAAUUGACGGUACCUGCAAAGGAAGCACCGGCUAACUCCGUGCCAGCAGCCGCGGGAAUACGGAGGGUGCGAGCGUUAAUCGGAAUUACUUGGCGUAAAGCUCUCGUAGGCGGGAUGUCAAGUCAAGGGUGAAAUCCCCGCGCUCAACGUGGGAACUGCCUUUGCAACU
rnacentral:rRNA from 1 species